rnacentral:rRNA from 1 species
UACGUAGGGCGCAAGCGUUGUCCGGAAUUAUUGGGCGUAAAGAGCUCGUAGGCGGCUUGUCACGUCGAUUGUGAAAGCCCGAGGCUUAACCUCGGGUCUGCAGUCGAUACGGGCUAGCUAGAGUGUGGUAGGGGAGAUCGGAAUUCCUGGUGUAGCGGUGAAAUGCGCAGAUAUCAAGGAGGAACACCGGUGGCGAAGGCGGGAAUCUCUGGGCCAUUACUGACGCUGGAGGAGCGAAAGCGUGGGGAGCGAACAGGA